GUUUUCAUAAUGAAUUCAUCACCGAUUACAGUUUACACGGCCCGAGUUUAAUAAACAAAGAACUGCUAGAUCCACGUGUGUUUCAAUCAUUAUGCAGUACAUUCUGAAGUGAGGGAAAGCUUAAAGAUAUUGCCUUGUGGUCCGAAUUGAGGGCAAUGAUUCGCAUAAAG